rnacentral:rRNA from 1 species
AAGACCUUGCACUUUUGGAGCGGCCGAUGUCUGAUUAGCUAGUUGGUGGGGUAAUGGCCUACCAAAGCUUCGAUCAGUAGCUGGUCUGAGAGGACGGCCAGCCACACUGGGACUGAGACACGGCCCAGACUCCUACGGGAGGCAGCAGUGGGGAAUUUUGGACAAUGGGCGCAAGCCUGAUCCAGCCAUGCCGCGUGAGUGAAGAAGGCCUUCGGGUUGUAAAGCUCUUUCAGCCGGGAAGAAAAGGUUGCGACUAAUAAUCGCAAUUCAUGACGGUACCGAAAGAAGAAGCACCGGCUAACUACGUGCCAGCAGCCGCGGUAAUACGUAGGGUGCGGGCGUUAAUCGGAAUUACUGGGCGUAAAGGGUGCGCAGGCGGUUUUGUAAGUCAGAUGUGAAAUCCCCGGGCUUAACCUGGGAACU